AAUGAACGCUGGCGGCGCGCCUAAUACAUGCAAGUCGAGCGAGAAGACGUAGCAAUACGUUUGUAAAGCGGCGAACGGGUGAGGAAUACAUGGGUAACCUACCCUCGAGUGGGGAAUAACUAGCCGAAAGGUUAGCUAAUACCGCGUACGCUCCUUGGACUUCGGUUCAGGGAGGAAAGCGAUACCGUGGGUAUCGCGCUCUUGGUUGGGCUCAUGUCCUAUCAGCUUGUUGGUGAGGUAACGGC
rnacentral:rRNA from 1 species